ACAUUAAGCAGCUUCUUUGGGGAUUUAGGGUACAGAUCCUACAGAGAAAGAACUGGCACCCCCUGAAUCCAUUGAAACAUAAACACCAGAUUCUGCUUGUCCUGCGCAUCUCUGUCGUUAAGAGCAACACAGGGGCACAGAGUGCUUACGACUUGACCCUCAAAAGCUCUGUAAGAGGGAAGCCAUCUGCAGUGGAAAUGUGAAGGGCUCUUUCCAGAUUCUGGCUCUUUUCAGAUUCUCGUCUCCCAGGGCAUCAUGACAAAUCAAACACUGUUUCUGGGAAGGCCGUGCACAGAGAGUGUGCUCACAGCUUCAGAGGGGAAGAAAGCACACAGAGAGACAUGUGGGCUGCGCAGGGCUGGAAGAGAGUUUUCAUCCCUUCCAGACAAGAGAACAUCCUAACAGCCUGCAGUUACUCCACUCUGGAUCACAUUUGCUUUGGAGGCAAAAUAUCAUUUGAGUGAUCUCCUUUAUCAUACACAACUCAUCAUCAGGCUUCAGCUGCAAAUUGUGAAGACAUAGCAGUAAGCUCUUCAGGAGCAGUGAGCUCCUUUCUUUGAAAAUCAUCCAGUCCUCAGGCUUCCAUCUGCCACCUGUGGGUCUGCCUUCCUCCCUGGGGCGUCAUCAGACUUUCUCGGCAGAGGCCAGAGAGUAAAUAUUUCAGUCUUUGUGGGCCAUACAGCCUUGAGACUACUCAGCUACACAUUUGUAGCUUGGAAGCAGCCAUAGGUAACACAUACAUGAAUGGACAGGCUUUGUUUCAAUAAAACUUUAUUUAACAAGCCGGUGAAUCCUGCCAAGCCCUGCUCUUGAAUGGCAGUUCUCAGAUUGUCAUGUACAGAUGUGAGAGUUGGACUGUAAAGAAGGCUGAGUGUCGAAGAAUUGAUGCUUUCGAUUUGUGGUGCUGGAGAAAACUCGAGAAUUCCCUGGACUGCAAGGAAAUCAAACCAGUCAAUCCUAAAGGAAAUCAACCCUGAAUAUUCAUUGGAAGGACUGAUGCUAAAGCUGAAGCUGAAGCUCCCAUCAUUCAGCCACCUGAUGCAAACAGCCAACUCACUGGAAAAGACCCUGAGGCUUGGAAAGAUUUAAGGCAAAAAGUAGAAUGAGGCAGCAGAGGAUGGGAUGGUUAGGUAACAUCACUGAUGCAAUGGACAUGAAUAUGAGCAAACUUCAGGAGAUAGUGGAGGACAGAGGAGCCUGGAGGGCUACAGUCCAUGGGGUGCUAAAGAGUCAGACACCACUCAGCGACUGAACAACAACAAAUCUCAGAUUGUGGUACACAAGCCCUCAUCCCCUGGAACACUGGAUUAUGUUGGAAGGUUUUGCAUAUCCACAAGCCUGUUGCUCAUGACAGAAGGCAGACUCUCCUAAAAAGGAAUUUAGAAUUUAAAUAAUAAAAGUAAUAUAGGCAAUUGAUCUGCCUCGGCAGAGCUGUGAGGGACUCUCUCAGGAUGAAUAGAAAGGAUAUUAAUUCUAUCAGUGCCAAGGUAUGAUUGGAGAGUUGGAGUGAUAGGGUGAGACCUUGAAGGCAAAGCCAAAUUUAAGGUGGAGCCGGGGAGUCAAGCUCUUUCUGAGAAGUAACUGGAGAUUCUCAGCCUUGAAUGUUCAAAACAGAGGCACAGACUAUGUUACAACAUCUCGAAAGUCCCCAAGAUAGAAGCCUGUACACAGAGACUAAUAGUUUAUCUCACUGUGACAGAUACCAACUUUAAAUAUUGCAUUAGGAGAACAAAAAGACCUGAGCAGAGCUGCAUAGAGGUCUGGAAGAGAGUUCCAAGUGAAUAGUUUAAAAAUUGGCCCAGGGACUUCCCUCAUGGUCCAGUGGUUAAGACUCCUUGCUUCCAAUGCAGGGGACUCAGGUUGGAUACCUGGUCAGGGAACUAAGAUCCCACAG
ensembl:lncRNA